rnacentral:tRNA from 1 species
GCGGUCGUGGUGGAAUGGCAGACGCGCUAGGUUGAGGGCCUAGUGGGAGAAAUCCCGUGGAGGUUCAAAUCCUCUCGGCCGCA